GCGCGAAUAGUGUAGAGGUUAGCAUGCAUGCUUCCCAAGCAUGCGACCCGGGUUCGAGUCCCGGUUCGCGCA
rfam:Ophiocordyceps sinensis CO18 unplaced genomic scaffold OCS_Scf_1302, whole genome shotgun sequence.